AGGGGGCCUAUCUAACUACCGCAGUUAGACAGGGGCAUGUCUUACUAUGGCAGUUUGAUAGGCCCCCCUGUCGAACGGUGGCAGUUCGACAGGCUC
rnacentral:pre_miRNA from 1 species